AGACACCUAUACAAAAACAUUGCCCCAAGAAUUUUAACUUCCCUACGUCGCAUCAAAAAACUGGUACAAGGACCCAUCAAAAUAAAAGUCAAGCUGACAAUAUGAGGUAUAGGUACAGUCUUUCAAAUUGAAAUAAAUACAUCCACAAAAGAAAGACAACUAAACCCUAUACAACCCUCUAAUUUGAUCAUGCUACAAAAGCUAUACAACUUGGGUGAUCUCCACGCGCCCCGCAAUAUCCUUCUGACAUAGCUUCGGUCAGGUAUGACUAACUACUUUCCCAUCUCCAGGGUAUUAACCGGUAGGAUGAUCAUGUUUCUCAUCUGAGGGCAAAGCCCAGAUUUCCACAAUAAUUGUAAAGGUCACCAAUCGAAAUUAACAAAUAUCACAUAGCAAAAUUCUUAUAUUUUCAAAUGCUCAAAAGAACCUUUCGUCUUAGCAUACUCCUCGAAAGGGUUUUCAUAUGUCCAAAAAUGCAUAAACAAUGUUGAAAAAUGAAGUUUUAACAAACUGCAUUGUCAUAGCCGAGUACAACAGAGAAAAUGCAGAUUUUCAGUUCUAAAAUAGCUCUGAAUCAAUCAACACUUCGAAUAUUCAUUAAAUCAAUUAUGAACACAUAAUUACAUCAAAACUUAAUCAACCCAACUUCACACCUCAAAGCAAUUACGACAAAUCACAACAACAAUCGAAUAUGUAUAUACAAUCAUCAUAGUAUAACAAACAUAACUCGCAUGCCAAACACUCUAAUGCAAUGCGUAUAUGCCAAAAUGCAUGAUUCUAGAAUUCCAAACCAAAACCCUCCUCGAAGGGCGUAAAUCAUAAUUGUACAACCUCUCACAGACCAGUACUAAUUACCAAGGUGCAAUCUUUCACGGAUCAGCACGAUUUACUAGCGUGCAGUCUCUCACAGACCAGCACGACAUACAAGAGAGUGCAAUCGCUCACAGACCAACACAAUUUACUAGCGUGUAGUCUCUCACAGACCAGCACGGUUUUCUAGAGUGCAAUCGCUCACAGAUCAACACAUUCUAGAGUGCAAUCUCUCACAGAUCAGCACGAUGCGACAAUCCCCGCAAGGAUAAGAUGAACCAACAAUUCACAUGGCAUCAUCUCGUGGCCCAUCAUAGUCACCACUAUCACCAUGGCCCCAUCGCGGUCACCAUGUACUAUGAAAUGCAUGAGCAUACUCUAACUCUUUUCACCAUAAUCAUUAAGUAAACAAAGAGUUCACAAUAAAAUUAAUUCACACACAACAAAAUUCUUAAAAUUAAAUCUUUCUCACACACCAAACUUUUAAAACCAAAUAAUCUAUAUUAUUUACUUAAAACUAAAUUAAACAAAUAUUGUCCAAAUUUCACAUACACAGACUCGACUAUUAAAGCACCAAAAAUUUUUGAGUUAAUAAAAUACUCUAAACUUUUUUUUUUCUUUUUAAACUCAACCAAAGAGUAAUUAAAAGAGUAAUAUUUUAAACUCUAACCAUUUUUAAUUUCAAUCUAUCUUUUUGCUCAAACUCUUUAACUUAGUUAAAAUUUGAACUUUUUCACAACUUUAACAACGCUAAUUUUUUUGUAAAAUUUCAAUUUCAGAUCAAACUCAUUUAUUUGAAAAUAACUCAUUACGUAACUCAAACUCAUCAAAUUUAAUUAAUUCAAUAUCCACAAAAUCCACACCUAAAUCACAUCUCAAAGAUUCAUAAUAAUAAUUAUGAACAUAUAAAUCAAACUAAAUAUGGAUCACCACAAACCACACCUCAAAACAUACCAAAAACAAAUCCCACUAAUUCCCACAUAAACAAAUUAAAUUCAUUUUCAACGAAUUCACACAUCAAAUACAUCAAAUUUCUUUUCCACAAAAUCACAAAUAAUGUCCUAAAUGCAAACUAAAAGUUUGGAAGGAGCCCUUACCUCCGUUGUAGUUUUAACAACCGAUUACGGCGCUGCGAUUAAUUCCGGUAAAAUUUAAGUUCCUGACGUCGCUUUGAAAACUAGAUCACUGGCACCGUAGCGUGACAAUGAGCAACUUUCCCUUCUGGCACUUCGCGAAAUAAAACUUAAAAGUCGAAGAAAAGUGGAGAUUUAUGUUUCAGUUUUUUUUUUUUUGAAAAAGGCAAAGCUUUGGUAACAGAAGAAGAAGAUGAAGAGCGUGGAAAAUAAGGAAAAUGUUUCUCUCUG
rnacentral:lncRNA from 1 species